rnacentral:rRNA from 1 species
AUUGAACGCUGGCGGCAGGCCUAACACAUGCCAGUCGAGCGGAUGAAGGGAGCUUGCUCCUGGAUUCAGCGGCGGACGGGUGAGUAAUGCCUAGGAAUCUGCCUGGUAGUGGGGGAUAACGUCCGGAAACGGGCGCUAAUACCGCAUACGUCCUGAGGGAGAAAGUGGGGGAUCUUCGGACCUCACGCUAUCAGAUGAGCCUAGGUCGGAUUGGCUAGUUGGUGGGGUAAAGGCCUACCAAGGCGACGAUCCGUAACUGGUCUGAGAGGAUGAUCAGUCACACUGGAACUGAGACAGGGUCCAGACUCCUACGGGAGGCAGCAGUGGGGAAUAUUAGGCAAUGGGCGAAAGCCUGAUCCAGCCAUGCCGCGUGUGUGAAGAAGGUCUUCGGAUUGUAAAGCACUUUAAGUUGGGGGGAAGGGCAGUAAGUUAAUACCUUGCUGUUUUGACGUUACCAACAGAAUAAGCACCGGCUAACUUCGUG